rnacentral:lncRNA from 13 species
GGUUUGAGUGACUCACCAAAGGUGGCACAGAUGUGGAAUGAUGGAUUCAGAAUGGAAAUCCAGGAUUGCCUGACUCCAAAGCCAGUACUUUUAACCCCUGCAUAGAUAUCAACAGCCAGAGGCUACCGAAUGCUGGGUGCCUUCACUGUUGAGCAGGUUGGGACCCUGAUGCUGGCCAAGAGCCCCCCAGCAGACGUGCCGGCACCCACAGUUUGGCAACCAUGAAGGGACUGGAUAUUGGGGAUUUCGGUGACGCUUAAACAGUGAGAGACUGCGGUAGUCCACCCAGAAUAUUGAAAACAGAUAAUGGUCCUGCCUAUAUUAGCAAAGGUUUUUCUUCCUUUUGUUCACAAUUUCAGAUCCAGCACCAUACAGGCAUUCCUUAUAACCCACAAGGAAUUGUUGAACGUACUCAUGCAAUUUUCAAAAUAACCUUAAAAACUACACAAAGGAGAACUUGGCAUUGAAUUGCACAAGACAUCUCAUAAUUGGCUUAAACAUGCCUUGUAUGUUCUUAAUUUUUUACUUCUUGACUCUGAAGAUCGAUCAGCAGCUGACCGCUUUUGGUACCCGAAAGCCUCUGCUUAUCCAGAGGUCCGCUGACGCCCCUGUGUGGGUUCCAGAACGACUGGUCAAGCAUGGAUUUCCUGUCAAUGGACAGAUCAAACACCCUGAUUCCUCGCUUUCGGCGAAUGUACCUGACAACUCCACCAUUGCGCCGCGGACGGAGAACCAGACGAACGACAAUUGCCUUCCAACGCUGCGAUCUUCCGACAUGGGCACAACUGAGGAGACUGGAGAUGCUCAACUGGUUGAUCAACACUCUCCUCAUACUCCUAUUAUUAUGUUUGUUGCUAUGAUGGCUAUUUUGUCCUGUCAAGUACCUACUGCUCUAUCCUUUCCUUUGCCACGGCCUUCCCAGACACUAUGGGCAUAUGUACCUGACCCCCCUUUACUUAGACCUGUCACUUGGGAUGACCCUGCUUUUCCAGUUUAUAUUAAUGACACCUCCAUUCUUGGCUUUCCUUCCUCUUCUCAUAUUACUCCUCAGAUGGCCACUUAUACCUAUUCUGCUCAAGCUGCCGCCCCACCUAUGUGCUUUUAUACAUCGAAAGUUUGGGAUGAUUAUUCAUAUGUUAAUAUUGUUUCUCUGCAACUUCCCUCAUUAUCAUUUCCACCUGGCCCGUUCUGCUUUGAUCUUGGUAAAAAACGAAUUCAUACCUUUAAUGGCCCUAGUGAUGUCCUCCCCGGUGAGACACUGUUUGGUAGAGUCUGGAGCCUUUCCUAUUUAGGCAUUAGGGAAUCUUAUAAUGCUUCUUCUCCAGAAUUUCCUCUUAUAGAGAGAAGACGGUGUCGACCCAGCAAUUCCUCCUCAGACCUGUCACCCCCUUGGAAAAUGUGUUUUCCCAACCAGAAACAAACCCUUCGUUAUACUCUGCCCACAGGCUUUAUCUUGUAUGAUUGGUCUAUCCCUCAUCCUCUUGGGACUGAUCUUACCCGAUAUGAAAUGCCUGGUGGCUGGAGCACUCCUAUUUUUACUACAAAAACAGGAAAAGCUUAUACUUCUCUCUGGAAAUUGUUUCUGGCUUUAACCCCUGUUUUGUUAGGGCUAGCUCUCGCAGUUCCUCUUAUCCUUCUAAACAUGAUAUCUAUGUACAAGCUUGUGUUGCCUCUCCUUAUGCUAUCAUUGCUGGUAAUGUAUCCUUCACAGAAUGUAAGCGUAAUUAUUCUACUUUUUGUAACAAUUGCAUUUUGACUAAUUGUCUUGAUUCCUCACUGUUUCCUCUUCCCACUAUAUUGAUUAUCCAUCAGCCUCCAUAUGUGAUGCUUCCUGUAAAUAUCUCUGGCUCUUGGUAUGAUGAAAGAGGCCUGCAAAUCUUACACCAGGUCCGAGACCUUAUGGUCCGUUCUAAACGUUUUAUUAGUAUAUUCAUUGCUAGCAUUUUGGCCAUUGUGUCUGUGGUUGCGACUGCUGCCGUGGCUGCUGCUGGUUUAGCUCACAGUGUUCAGACUGCAGCUUAUGUUAAUUACCUUGCUAAAAAUAUUUCUGUUUCUAUGGGUGCUCAACUGGACAUUGACAAAAAACUUGAUGAAAAACUUAAUGCUUUGGAACAAACUGUAAACAUUUUAGGUGACAAAAUUUAUAAUAUUCAGAAUCAUAUGGCACUUCAUUGUCAUGUGGAUUAUAAUUAUAUUUGUGUAACUAAUGCUCCUUACAGUGAUUCCGCCUGGCAAUGGCCAUUAGUCAAGGCACAUCUUCAGGGAAUAUGGUCUCAUGACAACCUGUCUCUGGAUGUUUUUAAAUUACAACAAGAAAUUCAUGCUGUUGACUUCUCCCGUAAAGAGUUACUUGACGAUUCUUCUGUGGCAAAAGAUAUAGUUAAUGCUAUACUUUCCUGGUCACAGGGACUUCACCUUCCAUCCCUCUCCUCCGUGAUUGGCAUUGGAGUCAUUGUACUCCUUCUCCUGAUCUUUCUUCCAGUGCUCUUUUGCCUUGUGUUCUCCUCCCUCCAACAAAUGUGCCUCAAACUUUUUGAGUUGUAUUUAAAAACAAAGAAAGGGGGAACUGUGGAAAUGCUCCCAUAUGAGACCCCCAAGUAGUGGGUCACACUAUAUGAUUGAGCUUGAUCCCGGACACGGGCCCCCUGUUGGAGGUAGUCGAGCUAUGGGGAAGAACUGCAAGAAAGCUUAUGUGAUACACAAAAAAUAACACAAGUUAUUACUCUAUUGUGCUGAGGUGACGGGAGGCACGGUGU